rnacentral:rRNA from 1 species
GAGGGUUCGGCCCUCGGCAGACGGCCCAGUAACACGUGGAUAAUCUGCCCUUAGGUGGAGGAUAAUCUCGGGAAACUGAGGAUAAUACUCCAUAGAUCUAGGAUGCUGGAAUGCACUUAGAUUAAAAGUCCCGGCGCCUAAGGAUGAGUCUGCGGACUAUCAGGUAGUAGUCAGGGUAAAGGCCUGACUAGCCUACGACGGAUACGGGUUGUGAGAACAAUAACCCGGAGACGAUAUCUGAGACACGAUAUCGGGCCCUACGGGGCGCAGCAGGCGCGAAAACUUCACACUGUGCGAAAGCACGAUGAGGGAAUCCCAAGUGCUUGCUCGUAAGAGUAAGCUGUUUUUAUGUCUAAAAAGCAUACAGAGUAAGGGCUGGGUAAGACGGGUGCCAGCCGCCGCGGUAAUACCUGCAGCUCAAGUGGUGACCACUAUUAUUGGGCCUAAAACGUUCGUAGCCGGUUUAUUAAAUGCUUGGGUAAAUCGUGUAGCUUAACUAUACGAAUUCCGGGUAGACUGAUAGACUUGAGACCGGGAGAAGCUAGAGGUACUCCUGGGGUAGAGGUGAAAUUCUGUAAUCCUGGGG